UGGGGAGGAAGAGACACAGGGAAAGGGGGUGAAAGAGGCAGAGGGGGAAGAGAGAGACAAAGAGGGAGAAAUGAGAGAGAGACACACAAGGGGAGGGGAAGAAAGAGGCAGAGGGGAAGAGAGAGACUGGGAAGGAGAGGGGAGACAUUGACACAGAGGAGCAGUGAGGGGGAGAAAGAAACAUACAGAGUGACUGGGGGAGACAAAAAGGCACACAGAGGGGCUGGAGAUAAAGAGACACACAUAGGGGCAGUAUAUAUCACAAAGCCCCCAAGGCCUUCCCCUGCCGGCCGAUCUCCCUCCCCGUUCCACAGGCACCGUGCAGCCAGUCGGCAGGGGAGGAAGAGAGGACCUGGGGCAACGCUCCGGCUCUCACGAGGGUGAACUCUAGCCCUGGAGCUACGGGCUAGAGUUCACUCUCACCACUUCCUGGUCGUCCCAGUAGUAGGAGUGAACUCUAGCCCCAUACACACACACCAUACACAUUCACACACUGCC